GCCUGGUAUGAUUCACUGGCACAAUGCCCACCUUUACUCAAGACCCCAUCACUGCUUACCUGGACUAUUGAAAUGGUUUCCAGACUAAUUUCCCCUUUUCCAAUGUCUCACUGCCAGAGUAAUUUGCCUAAACCUCUUAUCUGAUAUAGAAACUUAUUUAUAUUAGCAGAAGAAAAGCCCUCACUGUCUAGCUUGGUGAGACUCUAGGUGAUGGAGGAACUGCAUGAACCUUAAUGAAAAUAGUGCUAUUUACUCCUUUUCUUGGAAUAGUCUUGCCUGAGAUGAGACAUACACAGGGUCACAGAAGAGAGCAAAGAACUUAUAUUUAUGAUUUGGGAGAGAAGGAGCAAGAAAGAGGGACAGCCUGAAUGAAGACAAGAAAAAAUGGGGCAAGAGAGAGAGAUCAACUGUGCACCCUGGAAUCUUCUCUUCCCUCAAGAUUCCAAACAUUUACCAUCCCCCGCUAUGGAUGCAAACCUGGUCUUGUCCUCCAAGCUCUGUCCCUCAAAGUCUCUUGAUCAUUCCUAUAUCACAAAUGCAUCAACAGAGAUGAUACUCCAAAGAAACAAUAGAACAUAGGAAUCUUGUAUACUUUUUGGGCAACUUAGGACAUCAAACCUAAACUGACAGGUUGUAAGCAGGCUUGGGAAAGAGGCUAUAGCCAGGGACUAGGGUACCUGGGAGUGGUCUACUAUAAUAUAUACUAAAAGGAUGAUUCCUACACAGGUGUUGGUCUUCUUGGAAUGGAUCUCUGAUAUAAUGGGGGAAAUGUCUAAGACUAAAAUGAUAUUUAACAUUCGAUUAGAUCUACUAGCCCCACUUAAGCUGGGAUCAUCAAAUACUUUAAGGUUUAUUGUUCAGUCUGAAAUGAGGGAGUCUGGGACUUCCCUCUAGUGAGUUCUCAUGGGACAGGGGCAAAUUCAGGGCUCCCCCCCCAAAAAAAACCCAGUUGACAAUACCAGUCUUUAAAAAGCACUUCAAAAAGAUAGGAAUCUAAAUCUAACAGCAAGAUGGAAUCAUGGGACUCUCCCACUGAACAUAAUAUAAAGGUAAGAAGAGAGAGAGUUGAUUUUCAUGGAAUAAGGGGGAACUGGAAGCAAAACUGCACUCAGAAGAGUGCUGUCUGACAACCCCCCCCAAAAAACAACACACACAUACACCUAGUUUCUGUGAUUUGGUGUAGGCUAACUUCAGUAUCCCAGGAUGGGGGUUACACUAGCAGAGGAGCACCUCAGACCAACCCUUUGAAGACUCAGACCUUGGUAUCAGCUGUCAGGGAGGACCAAAAGCCCAUAUAGUUAGGCACUUUUAAAUUGAAAAUACUAAGUAUUCUUAAUUAAAAUGCAUAUUUUCUGAAAAACAGGGUAUAUGUGACCCUGAGCACCUCAAGAUUGUAUCUAUAGCAUUAAUUAUCAUCUACUUAACCAUCAUUUGAACAUUUGCCAUAUUUCCUUUCUUUCCAUUGUUCUUAGUGCCAAUGACCACUCCUAGAUUCCAAGAAGAUAAAAGAUGUCCAAGUGAUGAAAACCCUAGCAUCACUGAGAAGUUCCUGGCUCCAUCCAUUAGCAUUUUCAAGGGUCAAUGAACAUCAUCCCCUUUGCAUAAAUCUUAGGAUCCAUCUACAGUUCCAGAAGUGAUUACUAGUUUCAUAAAUAUGGUAUCUACUCUGGAGUUCUUGAGGUUAUUGUUGAAUUCCCCCCUCCAUUUCUGGAAUUUUAUUUUAAAUUUGGCUUCAACAUCAACCCAACUUUGCUAUAAAUAGCCUAGCUUGUCUGCUUAGUUUGACAGAAAUGAUAAAUCUCUGCAGAGACAUACAGCUAACAUGAAAUAAAUGUACAUUCAAUUAAUGCA
ensembl:lncRNA